UACGUAGGGGCAAGCGUUGUCCGGAUUUAUUGGGCGUAAAGAGCGUGUAGGCGGCCUGACAGGUCUGCUGUGAAAACUCGAGGCUCAACCUCGAGAUGUCGGCGGAAACCGUCUGGCUGAGAGUCCGGAAGAGGAGAGUGGAAUUCCUGGUGUAGCGGUGAAAUGCGCAGAUAUCAGGAGGACACCAACGGCGAAGGCAGCUCUCUGGACGUACUGACGCUGAGACGCGAAAGCGUGGGGAGCAAACAGG
rnacentral:rRNA from 1 species